CCUACUUAGUCUAUCAGGCAUAGACAUCAGAGUCGAAGUAGUUCGGACUGGGGAAACGACACAUGCUCGCUAGGAUAUCGCAUCCUAUGCAUACGUAUCUUCUCGGACGAGAGAAGAAUCAGAGCAUUCGUAGCUCGGCUGACACGCACACAAACAAAACAAGACAAAGGCAAACGUGGAGCCCGACUGCCAAUCGCUGGACUUAUGUCAGCAUCCGAACCUAAACACACGCAAAGAGGCAAACGUGGAGCCCAAAUGCCAAUCACUGGACUUACAUUGACAUCCG
rnacentral:lncRNA from 1 species